rnacentral:rRNA from 1 species
CACGUAGGGCGCAAGCGUUGUCCGGAAUUAUUGGGCGUAAAGAGCUCGUAGGCGGUCUGUUGCGUCCGCUGUGAAAACCCGGGGCUUAACCCUGGGCUGGCAGUGGAUACGGACAGACUAGAGGUAGGUAGGGGAGAAUGGAAUUCCCGGUGUAGCGGUGAAAUGCGCAGAUAUCGGGAGGAACACCGGUGGCGAAGGCGGUUCUCUGGGC